UGUGCAUUGGUAUGCAUAGCUGCAUAUCAGAUGGGAAUCAGGGUCUAGGAACAAGUCCUGUGGCCCUGGGAAAGGCUACUUUCCUAUCCCUGCCCCUGUGAUAUUGGAGUCCAGGUAGGGCUCACUUCCUCCUCUCUCUGGGUCUCUUUCAGCCGGGAACCAUGAUCGAGUGGGGAAACAACUGGGCUCGGGCCAUCAAGUACCGUCAGGAGAACCAGGAGGCGGUGGGAGGCUUCUUUUCACAAAUAGGAGAGCUCUACGUGGUACACCACUUAUGGGCCUACAAAGAUCUGCAGUCUCGGGAGGAGACUCGAAAUGCGGCCUGGAGAAAGAGGGGCUGGGAUGAAAAUGUGUACUAUACAGUCCCUUUGGUUCGACACAUGGAGUCACGAAUCAUGAUCCCCCUGAAGAUUUCUCCUCUCCAGUGAGGCUGGCACUGCCUCCACCUCCUUCCCUUUCUCCUUUGGAGUAACC
rnacentral:lncRNA from 1 species